UACGUAGGGGGCAAGCGUUGUCCGGAUUUAUUGGGCGUAAAGAGCUCGUAGGUGGUUCGGUAAGUCGGAUGUGAAAUCUCCAGGCUCAACCUGGAGGGGUCAUUCGAUACUGCCGUGACUAGAGUUCGGUAGAGGAGUGUGGAAUUCCUGGUGGAGCGGUGAAAUGCGCAGAGAUCAGGAGGAACACCAAUAGCGAAGGCAGCUCGCUGGGACGUUACUGACACUGAGGCGCGAAAGCGUGGGGAGCGAACAGG
rnacentral:rRNA from 1 species